AACGAACGCUGGCGGCAGGCCUAACACAUGCAAGUCGAACGCUCCGCAAGGGGAGUGGCGCACGGGUGAGUAACACGUGGGAACCUACCUUCUGGUACGGAACAACCAAGGGAAACUUUGGCUAAGACCGUAUACGACCUCCGGGUGAAAGAUUGAUCGCCGGAAGAGGGGCCCGCGUCCGAUUAGGUAGUUGGUGAGGUAACGGCUCACCAAGCCUUCGAUCGGUAGCUGGUCUGAGAGGAUGACCAGCCACACUGGGACUGAGACACGGCCCAGACUCCUACGGGAGGCAGCAGUGGGGAAUAUUGGACAAUGGGCGCAAGCCUGAUCCAGCCAUGCCGCGUGUGUGAAGAAGGCCUUCGGUUG
rnacentral:rRNA from 1 species